UAUUUUUAUGUAUGUAUUUAGAAGGUGUUGGUAGCACUGACUAUGGUAAGACAUUGAAGGCUCAGACCUCAUGUGACAUUCCUGAGCAGCAAACAAUGAAGUUUGCACCCACAGUGCAGGAACAUGGUGAUCCUGAGAAAUGCAUUGUUCUUGGUUUCACUUCUUGAUAAUAUUGCAACAUCUGGAUGUUGGUUAUUUUCUAAGAUUGGAAACAAUUAGCAGCAGCAAACGCUCAUUACCCAGUGUGUCACUGACUAGAUAAUACGAUAAAUAUAUACAAUGCUGGUUCUGUCACUUGAUUAGGCUCCAAACAUACCUCUCUUUACUUUUCUCUUCCCGUUUUAUAAUGCAGAGAAUGUUCUUGAUAUUAAAGAUGCUGUUCUUUAUAUUGUAGAGGACGGUCAGUAGAAUGUAAUUAAAAGCUGUACUGUAUUGACGGAUAAGAUUAUUUUGGCAGCUCUCACUCAGGCAAAGCUCAUGUCUACGAUAACUACAACUACAAGUUCAACCAGCACUGCUGAGACUGCGGACUUUCCAAGGUCAUCCAGGCAGACAAGUUAAAACAAUUCAUUCAACAAUCUCAGGGGUUUCAUUCUGUUUUUAUAAACCUGGCACCCUGUAAAAGCACAACUCAAUACACACUGGUGUUUGGGUUAAAUACUGUGGGCCCUAAUUGUGAAAAUUGAAAUACUGUUUUUAAGACUGCGUUUUCAGGACUGGUUUUAAAGAUUCUCUGUGGUUUGAAAAGUGAAAAUGAACUUUUAACCCUCUCUCACCGUCCUUAAAAUGCUGUGAAUGGGGCUGAAUGUACAGCAGGAAUGGUGCUUUCUGGUGAUCUUGUUUAAAAGGCAAGGGUGUCUUAGUGAGGGAGCGCUGUAUUUAAGUGUUGCUGUUUUUGAAAUCCUCAGCACUGUUGAAAUGAAAUGGAUCACACCCCUCAGUGUUGUGCUGGGACUGCUGGCCUUCGUGCUGAUUUCUACUGCAUUCGUUAUUGUAACGUUUAAGAAACAGAGGCAGAAGAUGCUCAGGAGUUUUGAAGAUAUCCCUCCUCAGCCCUGUGUACCUAUUACCUACGCCUCCAUAGCAUUCCACUCAGGAUCAGCUGAAGACCCCUCAAUGCUAUACGUUAACCUGCGAUCACCCGGAGUCCCACUCUGGAUCUUUUCCAGUAUCCGCAGAAACAGUGGAAUAUACAACAGUGGCAAUCAAAAUCAAAUAACCAGCCAGAGUGUUUAUAUAUAUGGGCAAAGUCUGUGUCUGCUACUUUAUUGUUUACUAGUUUCUAUGCUUGCCUCUCUGUACACAGAGUCCAGUCUUAGUGCAUCUGGAACCUGUUUUUUGGACCUAGGCUGAUUGGGAAACUAGUCGUGCUCAGUGAUAUUAUCUAAUAUACAUCUAAUAACUCAUAUGAGCAUGUUAGUAGUUAAUAAAUAACCUCACUCCCCUGACCACAGACCAACUAUGCCAAUAAAUGGUUAUACUGUAUAUGGUUCAUUCCCUUUAGCAAUAAAUGAUUAUACUCUAUAAGGUUCAUUCCCUAUAUUGUUUAUUUAAACAGAACAUGGACACAAUUCCUAAAAAAGCAGUGACAAUAAAGAUCUAGCACUAUGAAUCAGAAAAUAAACCACAUUUAAUGCAUAUUACUAUAGCAGUACAACCAUCCUUCAAACUGCAGAACAUCAUGCUAAGUAGAUUUUGUAAAUGUAAGACAUGGGUAAGUGUAACUAGAUAGCAAUUCAUGCACCUGGUCAGUAUUUCAAAGCAUGUUCCUACAAUGAAAAGUUUGUCAUUUAUGUCUCCUUUUCGAUUGUGAAUCCUGUCUCACGCCUAAGCCAGGAGGUGACGAAUUAAGGGAACUGCACUGCCUUGGCUAGCCCCACUCGGUUGUUACCUCUAUCAAAGAUAGAAUAGUACUCCCUCAUGAAAACUUCUCCCAGGAUCCAGAAAGGUUCCCUAGUAUCAGUGAUGCCGCUUUUGCAUAAUCCACCACUGACCUGUUAUAUGGACCAAUAAAACAAAAGACAUUGUAAGCAGAUAGUUUCAAUGCAUCAGCACUGCGGCUGACUCCUAUCUUGUUUGCAUGCCAUUAUGAUCCAUUACAGAUUUGUUCCUAUUGCUUGAGCUUUGAUUAGUAGUACCAUUAUGAAACUCAUGUGUUUGUCAGCUGUUCCUAUGACAUCAUUGGCUGUUCCCAUUUGGGGGUCUUUAUUUUUUAAUGAAUAAAA